GACGAACGCUGGCGGCGUGCCUAAUACAUGCAAGUCGAACGCAGUGGGGACGGGUGAGUAACACGUGGGUAACCUCCCAUCAGAGGGGAUAACACUUGGAAACAGGUGCUAAACCGAUACUGAUGGAUGGACCCGCGGUGCAUUAGCUAGUUGGUGAGGUAACGGCUAACCAGGGCCACGAUGCAUAGACGACAGGAGAGGGGGAUAGGCCACACGGGGACUGAGACACGGACCAGACUCCUACGGGAGGCAGCAGUAGGGAACCGUCGGCAAUGGACGAAAGGCUGACCGAACAACGCCGCGUGAGUGAAGAAGGUUUUCGGAGGGUAAAACUCUGUUGUUGGAGAAGCGGUAUCUAACCAGAAAGCCACGGCUAACUACGUGCCAGCAGCCGCGGUAAUUC
rnacentral:rRNA from 1 species